AUGAACGCUGGCGGCGUGCCUAAUACCUGCAGGUCGAGCGAACGGACGAGAAGCUUGCUUCUCUGAUGUUAGCGGCGGACGGGUGAGUAACACGUGGAUAACCUACCUAUAAGACUGGGAUAACUUCGGGAAACCGGAGCUAAUACCGGAUAAUAUUUUGAACCGCAUGGUUCAAAAGUGAAAGACGGUCUUGCUGUCACUUAUAGAUGGAUCCGCGCUGCAUUAGCUAGUUGGUAAGGUAACGGCUUACCAAGGCAACGAUGCAUAGCCGACCUGAGAGGGUGAUCGGCCACACUGGAACUGAGACACGGUCCAGACUCCUACGGGAGGCAGCAGUAGGGAAUCUUCCGCAAUGGGCGAAAGCCUGACGGAGCAACGCCGCGUGAGUGAUGAAGGUCUUCGGAUCGUAAAACUCUGUUAUUAGGGAAGAAUAUAUGUGUAAGUAACUGUGCACAUCUUGACGGUACCUAAUCAGAAAGCCACGGCUAACUACGUG
rnacentral:rRNA from 1 species